GAUUAAGUUAUUAAGGGCGCACGGUGGAUGCCUUGGCACUAGAAGCCGAUGAAGGACGUUACUAACGACGAUAUGCUUUGG
rnacentral:rRNA from 2 species